GACAGAGGGUGCAAACGUUGCUCGGAAUCACUGGGCGUAAAGGGCGUGUAGGCGGGAAGGAAAGUCAGAUGUGAAAGCCCUGGGCUCAACCCAGGAACUGCAUUUGAAACUCCCUUUCUUGAGUGUCGGAGAGGAAAGCGGAAUUCCUGGUGUAGCGGUGAAAUGCGCAGAUAUCGGGAAGAACACCCGUGGCGAAGGCGGCACUCUGG
rnacentral:rRNA from 1 species